CUGCAUCACCAGCUUGCCUCAUCUGAAUCCCUGACUCCUGACCUCCCCUGAGGAAGGUGCUCACUGUCAGAAGAACCCCCGGCAUCCUACCGCCACAGAAAGGUGAUUCCUUUAAAGCGCCAGAAACGGAUGAAGGAGCGAGAGGGGGCUGCGCGAGGUGGGCAGACGGGGAGGGGAGCUGUCGCUUGUGUCAGGUUAACCUCAGAGACACAUCCGGAGCUCAGCAUCUGGGAGACGGAGGGGAGAAAGGCACCGUCGCUCCAUUUGGUGCAAUUUCCCCACGGCAGCAACAGAUAGCAACAAAAGUCCCAUUGAGGUCUUUAAGAAAACACCCCUGGUGUGUGAGUGUGUAAAAGGCAAGAUUCCUAAUAUUCAGCAGCAGACGAGAUGUGUGCAUGUGGCUAUGAGAAAGAGGCAGAUGAAGAGUGGAAGAUAAGAGAAAAAGAUGACAGCACUCAAAGGCUAAAGGCAGUGCUUUCUCUCAUCUUCUGACCACCGGCUGACUCUGAGACUGAGAGCCGAGAGCGGAUGGAGUGACCCGGCUCCCCGUGACCCUGCUGAACUGAGUGUGAGGCUCCCCAGCUAAACCCACCAGAGCUCCAGCCCUGUAAUUGGGUUAAAGCUCUGCAUUGCCUUAUUGAUGUGCAAAUGCUAACUGUCGAGGCAUGUCACUUUCAGACAUAUUAGAGAACACCUCGAGGAUGACUGCAGGAGAUCAAGGACACCAAUGCACCAUUUCAUAUCAAACCCCAAACAUGAGAGGGGUGCCGUUCAUUAAAAUUUAGGCUAUCAAGAAAUAUCCAAUUCAAAAGAAAUGUCUAAUUUGAAGCAGUCCUUGACAGUACACGAUCAUAUCUUAUCGUAUUUAACAACCAGUUUUGACAUGAGUUAUCCCACCCUAAAAAAGGAUGUUCUCACAAAUUAUGAUAAUAAUUAAAAUGAUGGGAAGUAUGAAAAUGUCAGUUAACCAGGAGGAAGUACAGUCAGUCAGAAAUUCAAAAUAUUAA